GGUUAAGCGACUAAGCGUACACGGUGGAUGCCCUGGCAGUCAGAGGCGAUGAAGGACGUGCUAAUCUGCGAAAAGCGUCGGUAAGGUGAUAUGAACCGUUAUAGCCGGCGAUGUCCGAAUGGGGAAACCCAGUGCAAUUCGUUGCACUAUCGUUAACUGAAUACAUAGGUUAACGAGGCGAACCGGGGGAACUGAAACAUCUAAGUACCCCGAGGAAAAGAAAUCAACCGAGAUUCCCCCAGUAGCGGCGAGCGAACGGGGAGCAGCCCGGAGUCUGAAUCAGCUUGUGUGUUAGUGGAAGCGUCUGGAAAGUCGCAGGGUACAGGGUGAUACUCCCGUACACUAAAACGCACAGGCUGUGAACUCGAAGAGUAGGGCGGGACACGUGGUAUCCUGUCUGAAUAUGGGGGGACCAUCCUCCAAGGCUAAAUACUCCUGACUGACCGAUAGUGAACCAGUACCGUGAGGGAAAGGCGAAAAGAACCCCGGCGAGGGGAGUGAAAAAGAACCUGAAACCGUGUACGUACAAGCAGUAGGAGCCUCUUUAUGGGGUGACUGCGUACCUUUUGUAUAAUGGGUCAGCGACUUAUAUUCUGUAGCAAGGUUAACCGUAUAGGGGAGCCGCAGGGAAACCGAGUCUUAACUGGGCGUUAAGUUGCAGGGUAUAGACCCGAAACCCGGUGAUCUAGCCAUGGGCAGGUUGAAGGUUGGGUAACACUAACUGGAGGACCGAACCGACUAAUGUUGAAAAAUUAGCGGAUGACUUGUGGCUGGGGGUGAAAGGCCAAUCAAACCGGGAGAUAGCUGGUUCUCCCCGAAAGCUAUUUAGGUAGCGCCUCGUGAACUCAUCUUCGGGGGUAGAGCACUGUUUCGGCUAGGGGGUCAUCCCGACUUACCAACCCGAUGCAAACUACGAAUACCGAAGAAUGUUAUCACGGGAGACACACGGCGGGUGCUAACGUCCGUCGUGAAGAGGGAAACAACCCAGACCGCCAGCUAAGGUCCCAAAGUCAUGGUUAAGUGGGAAACGAUGUGGGAAGGCCCAGACAGCCAGGAUGUUGGCUUAGAAGCAGCCAUCAUUUAAAGAAAGCGUAAUAGCUCACUGGUCGAGUCGGCCUGCGCGGAAGAUGUAACGGGGCUAAACCAUGCACCGAAGCUGCGGCAGCGACACUAUGUGUUGUUGGGUAGGGGAGCGUUCUGUAAGCCGUUGAAGGUGGCCUGUGAGGGUUGCUGGAGGUAUCAGAAGUGCGAAUGCUGACAUAAGUAACGAUAAUGCGGGUGAAAAACCCGCACGCCGGAAGACCAAGGGUUCCUGUCCAACGUUAAUCGGGGCAGGGUGAGUCGACCCCUAAGGCGAGGCCGAAAGGCGUAGUCGAUGGGAAACAGGUUAAUAUUCCUGUACUCGGUGUUACUGCGAAGGGGGGACGGAGAAGGCUAUGUUGGCCGGGCGACGGUUGUCCCGGUUUAAGCAUGUAGGCGGAUGUUCCAGGUAAAUCCGGAACGUUACUAACGCUGAGGUGUGAUGACGAGGCACUACGGUGCUGAAGUGACAAAUGCCCUGCUUCCAGGAAAAGCCUCUAAGCAUCAGGUAACAUCAAAUCGUACCCCAAACCGACACAGGUGGUCAGGUAGAGAAUACCAAGGCGCUUGAGAGAACUCGGGUGAAGGAACUAGGCAAAAUGGUGCCGUAACUUCGGGAGAAGGCACGCUGAUAUGUAGGUGAAGUGGUUUACCCAUGGAGCUGAAAUCAGUCGAAGAUACCAGCUGGCUGCAACUGUUUAUUAAAAACACAGCACUGUGCAAACACGAAAGUGGACGUAUACGGUGUGACGCCUGCCCGGUGCCGGAAGGUUAAUUGAUGGGGUUAUCCGUAAGGAGAAGCUCUUGAUCGAAGCCCCGGUAAACGGCGGCCGUAACUAUAACGGUCCUAAGGUAGCGAAAUUCCUUGUCGGGUAAGUUCCGACCUGCACGAAUGGCGUAAUGAUGGCCAGGCUGUCUCCACCCGAGACUCAGUGAAAUUGAACUCGCUGUGAAGAUGCAGUGUACCCGCGGCAAGACGGAAAGACCCCGUGAACCUUUACUAUAGCUUGACACUGAACACUGGUCCUUGAUGUGUAGGAUAGGUGGGAGGCUUUGAAGCGUGGACGCCAGUCUGCGUGGAGCCAUCCUUGAAAUACCACCCUUUAAUGGCUGGUGUUCUAACGUGGGCCCGUUAUCCGGGUUGCGGACAGUGUCUGGUGGGUAGUUUGACUGGGGCGGUCUCCUCCUAAAGAGUAACGGAGGAGCACGAAGGUCAGCUAAUCCUGGUCGGACAUCAGGAGGUUAGUGCAAUGGCAUAAGCUGGCUUGACUGCGAGCGUGACGGCGCGAGCAGGUGCGAAAGCAGGUCAUAGUGAUCCGGUGGUUCUGAAUGGAAGGGCCAUCGCUCAACGGAUAAAAGGUACUCCGGGGAUAACAGGCUGAUACCGCCCAAGAGUUCAUAUCGACGGCGGUGUUUGGCACCUCGAUGUCGGCUCAUCACAUCCUGGGGCUGAAGUAGGUCCCAAGGGUAUGGCUGUUCGCCAUUUAAAGUGGUACGCGAGCUGGGUUUAGAACGUCGUGAGACAGUUCGGUCCCUAUCUGCCGUGGGCGCUGGAGAAUUGAGGGGGGCUGCUCCUAGUACGAGAGGACCGGAGUGGACGCAUCACUGGUGUUCGGGUUGUCAUGCCAAUGGCAUUGCCCGGUAGCUAAAUGCGGAAGAGAUAAGUGCUGAAAGCAUCUAAGCACGAAACUUGCCCCGAGAUGAGUUCUCCCUGACUCCUUGAGAGUCCUGAAGGAACGUUGAAGACGACGACGUUGAUAGGCCGGGUGUGUAAGCGCAGCGAUGCGUUGAGCUAACCGGUACUAAUGAACCGUGAGGCUUAACCUU
rnacentral:rRNA from 1 species